rnacentral:ncRNA from 1 species
ACGCCGGCAGGCGCGGGUAACCCGUUGAACCCCAUUCGUGAUGGUGAUCGGGGAUUGCAAUUAUUCCCCAUGAACGAGGAAUUCCCAGUAAGUGCGGGUCAUAAGCUUGCGUUGAUUAAGUCCCUGCCCUUUGUACACACCGCCCGUCGCUACUACCGAUUGGAUGGUUUAGUGAGGCUCUCGGAUCGGCCCCGCCGGGGUCGGCCCACGGCCCUGGCGGAGCGCUGAGAAGACGGUCGAACUUGACUAUCUAGAGGAAGUAAAAGUCGUAACAAGGUUUCCGUAGGUGAACCUGCGGAAGGAUCAUUA